UUGGAGCUGCUAGCUGUGGUCCACCCAUCAGCGCCUGCAGGCACAUGCUGAGAUUAGUCGAUUUCCUAAAAGUUGAAGGAAAAAUCACCCAGCUGACCUGUUUGGGUUAUGAUUUUAACUCACUAAGCUUUGGGGAGCUUUAUUACACAGCAGAAGCUAACUGGUGUAUUACUAUUAUUACUAUUAUUCUAAGAACCAAAUACCAGGCAAACCUCUAGGAGGAAAAUUGUAAUGAAAGUCACCUCAUUGAUUUGUGGCCGGGCUCAGUGGCUCAUGCCUGUAAUCUCUGAAUUAAUUCUCUUUAUCUUUCCAUGGCCAGUAAACAUUGAAAAAAAUUGCAAUUUCUUUUUUGUUUGUUUGUUUGAGAUGGGGUCUCACUCUGUCUCUUAGACUGGAGUCGCCACCACUGGCAUUAUUGAGCAUCAUCCAGAACUAUCAUUAGUCACCUUCUGAAUACAGCACCGUGAUGUUAAGAAAGUACAAAAAGUAGGACCUGCCUGGGGGGUUGGUUGCGAGUAUGUCUGUAUAAAAUAUAUACCCCACAUAUUUAAUAUAUAUUUUAUUUAAAACAUGUACAUGUGUUUUACUUAUGUAUUUUGCAAAUAUAUGAUCAUGGAGGAUAUGCUAGGUGUCAAAAAAAGGUGGUGUAAAUACCCACACAAAGUGAUACUUGGAUUUAGAUGCAGCUGGGGCACCGGAGAAAGUCUCAAGGGAGACCUAAUCUUUUCAAAAGGUGGGAGCAGAGAGACAUCUGGGUGUCAUGUGACCCCCUAUGUGAUGCAGUGUGGAGAACACAUUGCCUGGAAUGUAUUCUUGUCAUAAUUCUUAACUUAUCAAGGCCUCAGAACUAACUUCCAGGUUACAGGAAAUAGAGGCUGGAGAAAUAAGA
rnacentral:lncRNA from 1 species